rnacentral:misc_RNA from 1 species
GUUCUUUCGUUCAUCGUAUCUAUCAUCAUAUCAUACAUACACAGGGUGUUUUGUUUUCACGAUCUCCUCCCGUGUGUCGUGUCAUAUCAUGUCGUGUCAUGAUGUCAUGAUGUCAUGUCAUGAUGUCAUGUCAUCUGUCAUCUUCCGACACCACACCACACGACACCACGCGCGGGAAAAGCUGGACGACAUCUCGUCUCUGUCUCAACAGGCUCAAUGCUUGAUUCGUUAAUGAUCCUUCCGCAGGUUCACCUACGGAAA